rnacentral:SRP_RNA from 1 species
UGUUGGUUCUCCCGCAACGAUACUCUGUUUACCAGGUCAGGUCCGGAAGGAAGCAGCCAAGGCAGAUGACGCGUGUGCCGGGAUGUAGCUGGCAGGG